CUCCAGACUCCUACGGGAGGCAGCAGUGGGGAAUAUUGCACAAUGGGGGAAACCCUGAUGCAGCAACGCCGCGUGAGUGAUGAAGGCCUUCGGGUUGUAAAGCUCUGUCUUCAGGGACGAUAAUGACGGUACCUGAGGAGGAAGCCACGGCUAACUACGUGCCAGCAGCCGCGGUAAUACGUAGGUGGCGAGCGUUGUCCGGAUUUACUGGGCGUAAAGGGAGCGUAGGCGGAUUUUUAAGUGAGAUGCGAAAUACCCGGGCUCAACUUGAGUGCUGCAUUUCAAACUGGAAGUCUAGAGUGCAGGAGAGGAGAAUGGAAUUCCUAGUGUAGCGGUGAAAUGCGUAGAGAUUAGGAAGAACACCAGUGGCGAAGGCGACUUUCUGGACUGUACCUGACGCUGAGGCGCGAAAGCGUGGGUAGCGAACGGGAUUAGAUACCCUAGUA
rnacentral:rRNA from 1 species